UACGAAGGGUGCUAGCGUUGUUCGGAAUCACUGGGCGUAAAGCGCGCGUAGGCGGCUAUUCAAGUCAGAGGUGAAAGCCUGGAGCUCAACUCCAGAAUUGCCUUUGAAACUGUGUAGCUAGAGUGUCGGAGGGGAUAGCGGAAUUGCUAAUGUAGAGGUGAAAUUCGUAGAUAUUAACAGGAACACCGGUGGCGAAGGCGGCUAUCUGGACGACAACUGACGCUGAGGCGCGAAAGCGUGGGGAUCAAACAGG
rnacentral:rRNA from 1 species